AUACGAAGGGACCUAGCGUAGUUCGGAAUUACUGGGCUUAAAGAGUUCGUAGGUGGUUGAAACAGUUGGUGGUGAAAUCCCAGAGCUUAACUCUGGAACUGCCAUCAAAACUUUUCAGCUAGAGUAUGAUAGAGGAAAGCAGAAUUUCUAGUGUAGAGGUGAAAUUCGUAGAUAUUAGAAAGAAUACCAAUUGCGAAGGCAGUUUUCUGGAUCAUUACUGACACUGAGGAACGAAAGCAUGGGUAGCGAAGAGGAUUAGAUACCCCUGUAGUCCUGGCCGUAAACGAUGAACACUAGGUGUCGGGGAAUCGACCCCUCGGUGUCGUAGCCAACGCGUUAAGUGUUCCGCCUGGGGAGUACGCACGCAAGUGUGAAACUCAAAGGAAUUGACGGGGGCCCGCACAAGCGGUGGAGUAUGUGGUUUAAUUCGAUGCAACGCGAAGAACCUUACCAGGGUUUGACAUCCUGCGAACCUCUUGGAAACGAGA
rnacentral:rRNA from 1 species